GGACGAACCCUCGCGCGUGUGAAAAACGCGCGGUCAUGGCUGCGGUGGCGUGCCCGAGGAGGCGGCCACCGCGCUGGAAUCCAUGGGCGGACGCCUGCCGCGUGGCCGAGCGUGAUAUGACGCAUUGGCGCUGGUGCGAGGCGAGGCUGCCAGCCCUGGCCCGUCUGUCGGGCGGGGGAGAGAGCAAGACACG
rnacentral:misc_RNA from 1 species